GGGACAGUGGCACAACGGAUAACGCGCCUGACUACGGAUCAGCUGAUUCCCUGUUCAAAUCAUGGCUGGCUCCA
rnacentral:tRNA from 1 species